GAUGAACGCUGGCGGCGUGCCUAAUACAUGCAAGUCGAACGGACAGGCCUGCUGCUUCCUGCGCUUAGGGUAGAGUCGGGUGGGUAAGUGGCGAGUAAAUCACCUGUGUAUAGCCCUCGACUUAGGUCUGGACCCGGGAACUAGUACCUGAUACUCGAUAGAACCGCAGGGUUGAGCAGUGAGAGGAGGACUUGCUGUCAGUUGUAGGUGGAUCCGCGCCGCAUUAGCUAGUUGGUGAGGUGGCGGCUUACUAACGCGACGGUGCCUAGGCGACCUGAGCGGGGGAUCGGCCACACUGGAACUGAGACACGGUUCAGACUCCGACGGGAGGCAGCAGUAGGGAAGCUUCAGCUAUGGGAGAAAGCCUGAGGGAGCAACGCCGAGUGAGUGAGGAAGGUCUCCGGAUCGGAAAACUCUGUUAUUAGGGAAGAACAGAUGUGUAACUAACUGUGCACGUCGUGACGGUAGCUAAUCAGAAAGCCACGGCUAACUACGUG
rnacentral:rRNA from 1 species